rnacentral:rRNA from 1 species
UUUCGCCUGUUUUUAUCAAAAACAUGGUUUUUCGAAUUAAAAUGAAAAAUCAGGCCUGCCCUAUGAAUUAUAUUUAAAUGGCCGCAGUAUAUUGACUGUGCAAAGGUAGCAUAAUCAUUAGUCUAUUAAUUGUAGACUGGAAUGAAAGGUUUAACGAAGAAAUAACUGUCUCUGUUGUUAUGUUGAAAUUUAGAUUUUAGUGAAGACGCUAAAAUGAUUUUAUAAGACGAGAAGACCCUAUCAAGCUUUAUAAUAUUUUUGUAAUUUAUUUAUAGUAUUUUAUUAUAAGUUUUUUAUUUUGUUGGGGCGAUGAUAAUAUAAAACAUUAUUUUUUAUUACAUUUAUAAAUGAGUCUAUGAUCCAUUAUUAAUGAUAAGAAGAUUAAGUUACUGUAGGGAUAACAGCGUAAUUUUAUUGGAGAGUUCAAAUUGAUGAUAAAGAUUGCGACCUCGAUGUUGGAUUAGGAUACCUAAAUGGUGCAGAAGUUAUUUAAGGUGGUCUGUUCGACCAUUAAAUUCCUACAUGAUCUGAGUUCAA